UCCACACUCCCCGCUUUUCGUUUUUGCCACACAGGAAUUAUGGAGUAAACCCCAGACCCGGUCUCCCGUUCGGAGCACCUACGCACGAACUCCCCAAAUCCUUCCGUGGAGGUCGCCGGCAUCUUCCCCUGUUGCCGCUCGAUUCAAUCUAUCCCUCGCAGCUACUGCCGGCGCCGCCGCCUUGACAGAUCGACCGACCGACAUGCUUCUGGGCGCUGACCACGAUAGCGAGCUCCGCUCGUCCGGCUGCUAGCAUAUCGAUCGACCGACCAACCUGCUGCCGGGCGCUGACCACGACAGCGAGCUCCGCUCGUCCAGCUGCUAGCGUAUCGGUGGCGGAGGCCAUCCCCGAGCCUCUGCUCCGUGCGCCGCUGCGGGGCGGCUCACCAUCGCGUCCGUGUGUGUUCCUUGUCCAGCGGUUUUCGCGCGUGUUCCUGGUUUCAGGCAGCUACCCUUCACAGCUGGUUUCAUCGUUCCAGUUAAGUCUGUUCAUGUGAUUGGAUAAGGCUGUAGUAGUGUAGUGGUUGACUAGAGACUGUACUUCGUACGAACAUCUGACUGGUACUUCGUACGUAGCUGAGGCUCUGCCGAUCUAAUUGCAUUGA